CCUUGUACACACCGCCCGUCACACCACGAAAGUUGGUAACACCCGAAGCCAGUUGCCUAACCGCAAGGAGGGAGCUGUCGAAGGUGGGAUCAGCGAUUGGGGUG
rnacentral:rRNA from 1 species